AAUGGAAGGGCCAUCGCUCAACGGAUAAAAGGUACUCCGGGGAUAACAGGCUGAUACCGCCCAAGAGUUCAUAUCGACGGCGGUGUUUGGCACCUCGAUGUCGGCUCAUCACAUCCUGGGGCUGAAGUAGGUCCCAAGGGUAUGGCUGUUCGCCAUUUAAAGUGGUACGCGAGCUGGGUUUAGAACGUCGUGAGACAGUUCGGUCCCUAUCUGCCGUGGGCGCUGGAGAACUGAGGGGGGCUGCUCCUAGUACGAGAGGACCGGAGUGGACGCAUCACUGGUGUUCGGGUUGUCAUGCCAAUGGCACUGCCCGGUAGCUAAAUGCGGAAGAGAUAAGUGCUGAAAGCAUCUAAGCACGAAACUUGCCCCGAGAUGAGUUCUCCCUGACCCUUUAAGGGUCCUGAAGGAACGUUG
rnacentral:rRNA from 1 species